rnacentral:rRNA from 1 species
UCGAGCGGUAGGCCCUUUCGGGGGUACACGAGCGGCGAACGGGUGAGUAACACGUGGGCGACCUGCCCUCAGCUCUGGGAUAAGCCUGGGAAACUGGGUCUAAUACCGGAUAGGACCACAUGUCGCAUGGUGUGUGGUGGAAAGUUUUUUCGGCUGAGGAUGGGCCCGCGGCCUAUCAGCUUGUUGGUGGGGUGAUGGCCUACCAAGGCAACGACGGGUAGCCGGCCUGAGAGGGCGACCGGCCACACUGGGACUGAGACACGGCCCAGACUCCUACGGGAGGCAGCAGUGGGGAAUAUUGCGCAAUGGGCGAAAGCCUGACGCAGCGACGCCGCGUGGGGGAUGACGGCCUUCGGGUUGUAAACCUCUUUCGACCUUGACGAAGGCCUUCGGGUUGACGGUAGGGGUAGAAGAAGCACCGGCCAACUACGUGCCAGCAGCCGCGGUAAUACGUAGGGUGCGAGCGUUGUCCGGAAUUAUUGGGCGUAAAGAGCUCGUAGGCGGUGUGUCACGUCGAUCGUGAAAACUUGGGGCUUAACCCUGAGCUUGCGGUCGAUACGGGCAUCACUGGAGUUCGGCAGGGGAGACUGGAAUUCCUGGUGUAGCGGUGAAAUGCGCAGAUAUCAGGAGGAACACCGGUGGCGAAGGC